rnacentral:tRNA from 1 species
AAAAAGAUAAGCUAAAUAAGCUAAUGGGUUCAUACCCCGUAUAUAAAGGUUUAAUUCCUUUUCUUUUUA